UGGCGCACGGGUGAGUAACGCGUGGGUAUCUGCCUCGAAGUGGGGGACAACCGCUGGAAACGGCGGCUAAUACCGCAUACGCCCCGAUUGGUAAGACAGUUGGGGGAAAGCUUUAUGCGCUUUGAGAUGAACCCGCGUUGGAUUAGCUAGUUGGUGUGGUAACGGCGCACCAAGGCAGCGAUCCAUAGCUGGUCUGAGAGGAUGAUCAGCCACACUGGGACUGAGACACGGCCCAGACUCCUACGGGAGGCAGCAGUGGGGAAUAUUGGACAAUGGGCGCAAGCCUGAUCCAGCCAUGCCGCGUGAAUGAAGAAGGCCUUAGGGUUGUAAAGUUCUUUCAACGGUGACGAUGAUGACGGUAGCCGUAGAAGAAGCCCCGGCUAACUCCGUGCCAGCAGCCGCGGUAAU
rnacentral:rRNA from 1 species